rnacentral:rRNA from 1 species
GAUGAACGCUGACAGAAUGCUUAACACAUGCAAGUCAACUGUGGAGGAUUGGUGAGUAACGCGUAAAGAACUUGCCUCCCAGCUAGGGACAACAUUUGGAAACGAAUGCUAAUACCUGAUACUGUGAGAGAGCUUUGCGUCCCAUUAGCUAGUUGGAGAGGUAACGGCUCAACAAGGCGCUGAUGGGUAGCCGGCCCGAGCGGGUGAUCGGCCACAAGGGGACUGAGACACGGCACUUACUCCUACGGGAGGCAACAGUGGGGAAUAUUGGACAAUGGACCAAAGUCUGAUCAAGCAAUUCUGGGUGCGCGAUGAAGUUUUCGGAAUGUAAAGUGCUUUCAGUUGGGAAGCGGUACCAACAGAAGAAGUGACGGCUAAAUACGUGCCAGCAGCCGCGGUAAUAC